rnacentral:tRNA from 1 species
GUUCCCGUGGUGUAACGGAAAGCACGAGAGAUUACGGAUCUCUCGGAUAGGGUUCGAGUCCUUCCGGGAAUA